UCAUCCCUUCCAGAGCCCCGAUAAAACCCGACGUUGAAGCUGAGGAUGGUUCUUUGGCCUCCGAGGAUGUCUCCGUCUUCAGAGAAGUUUGCAGAACGUAGCAACGAUCACGUGCGAAUCUGGUUUCUCUUUGGCAAUUAGAAUGGAAGAAAGGUUGAAAGGGUGACUCAACAGAAAAAAUCACCCUCCACUUGCGGCUCAUCAUGCCCAGCUGUAAAGCGGGGAUUAUAUUUACCUCCAUUGCAAAGUACUCGGUUUCAGAAGACGUUGGUGCGGUUUGCUGAGGCCCCGGCUGGAAAUACCACAAGAAGUUCAAAGCCCGGUUUCAUCCUGUAAUUGGAUCCUCAAGUCCACAAGUGCAAGAACCAACUGUGCGGGCUGACAGCAGGUCCUACCCUCUUCCAACAAGAACCCCACCACAACACGGGGCUGUGGGGCUGAGCUGCAAGCGUGGCAUACCCAGGAGCUGCUACUUUCUGCUGCUAUGCACAAAAAAUGUUGUUUAAAGCUUUUGCCACCCUGUUUGAUCUGACCUGCUGUUAUUUUUUCUUUCUUUUUUUUUUUUUUUAACUCUAAGACAUCUUCUUAACUCUCAUGCUCACUUGGGAUGCUCUUAAGAACAUGGACUUUAAUCCCAGUGUUACUUAAAUACCAAUUUAAUAUUUGUUUUCUCUCUGCCUUGACAAGAUAUUCCUCAGGUCAAGCAGGCAUGAAAUGAUAGAUAUUGAGUGCAAUUCUUCUGGGCAAGAAGAGCUACCUUCUAAGAUCUUAUCUCAAAACCACUUGGAAAUGUGUUCUUUAUUUAUUUAUGCCAUAAAAUCUCAUUCGAUGUUGAAGGCCCAAAGGAUUACAAUUCUGAAUUUGUUGGUUUGCUGUUUUGUUUUCUUUUUUUUUUCCCCCGUCCUUGCUGAAAUCUGGCCUUUCAAAAUAACACAGAGAGAAUCUUUGUUUUGAUCUAAAAUAGCAGCUGCAAGGGCUUUUAAAUGACCAUUUAAAUGAGAUUCUUUUUUGCAUCUUCGCAUUAUAGUUUCAUUCUCGGUCUCUGAGAUCAGUAGCUGCGGUUGAGCAGCCGAGCCGUCUAAUGGGAAUAAAUUGUAAUAUUGUUCCAA